AUAUAUGCAAGUCGAGCGGACUUGUUAGAAGCUUGCUUCUAACAAGUUAGCGGCGGACGGGUGAGUAACACGUGGGUAACCUGCCUGUAAGAUGGGGAUAACUCCGGGAAACCGGAGCUAAUACCGAAUAACACUUUCGCUCGCAUGAGCGGAUGUUAAAAGACGGUUUCGGCUGUCACUUACAGAUGGACCCGCGGCGCAUUAGCUAGUUGGUGAGGUAACGGCUCACCAAGGCGACGAUGCGUAGCCGACCUGAGAGGGUGAUCGGCCACACUGGGACUGAGACACGGCCCAGACUCCUACGGGAGGCAGCAGUAGGGAAUCUUCCGCAAUGGACGAAAGUCUGACGGAGCAACGCCGCGUGAGUGAUGAAGGUUUUCGGAUCGUAAAACUCUGUUGUUAGGGAAGAACAAGUACGAGAGUAACUGCUCGUACCCUUGACGGUACCUAACCAGAAAGCCACGGCUAAACUACGUGCCAGCAGCCGCGGUAAUACGUAGGUGGCAAGCGUUGUCCGGAAUUAUUGGGCGUAAAGCGCGCGCAGGCGGUUCCUUAAGUCUGAUGUGAAAGCCCACGGCUCAACCGUGGAGGGUCAUUGGAAACUGGGGAACUUGAGUGCAGAAGAGGAAAGCGGAAUUCCACGUGUAGCGGUGAAAUGCGUAGAGAUGUGGAGGAACACCAGUGGCGAAGGCGGCUUUCUGGUCUGUAACUGACGCUGAGGCGCGAAAGCGUGGGGAGCAAACAGGAUUAG
rnacentral:rRNA from 2 species